UCUGGAGGACUGAAAGGCUGAAUCUUAUUAAACAAGAGUCUGUUGAUCCCCCAAUCCUCCUAGGAAAAAGAAUUAGAGAGAGCAAUCCUUAACUGAAAAGAGAAUGAGGCUGACUAUACUAACAAAC
rnacentral:snoRNA from 1 species